CAGCGCCCCGAGAACCCCAGGCUAGCUGGCAGAGCCGCCCGCACCCCUGGGCCCGGUGGCUGGCCCACCCUUCUCUGCCUCGAAGCAUCUGUCCUCCCUGCCGGACCCUCUCCCUAAGACAAUGAAGUGGCCACUUCAUCCUUGUCUCGACCUUCCUACCUGUGGCUUGGGAGCUCCAGCCACCGAAAGGAGCAAAGCAGGAAGAGAUGAAGAGUGGAAAGUGACGUUCAGCCAGGUGCUGGACAUUGAUCUCCAGGCCCCAGAACUCCUGAGAAUCCGCCCAACACCAGCCUGAGGCCUGCAGGAAUAAAUGAAGGAUUGAAUAAAAUGCCCAACUAACUGGAUGCCACCUGGGUGAGCUGAUUAACGGAAGACCACUGGGAACCUAGCCCUACCAGCUGACUGCAUGGAUCCUUGAGUCUUGA